UACGUAGGGGCCGAGCGUUGUCCGGAAUUACUGGGCGUAAAGCGCGCGCAGGCGGCGCCUCAAGCCCGACGUGAAAGCCCCCGGCUCAACCGGGGGAGGGUCGUCGGGGACUGGGGUGCUUGAGGGCGGUAGGGGCCGGUGGAAUUCCCGGUGUAGUGGUGAAAUGCGUAGAGAUCGGGAGGAACACCAGUGGCGAAGGCGGCCGGCUGGGCCGACCCUGACGCUGA
rnacentral:rRNA from 1 species